GUGAACGCUGGCGGCGUGCCUAAUACAUGCAAGUCGAGCGAACAGACGAGGAGCUUGCUCCUCUGACGUUAGCGGCGGACGGGUGAGUAACACGUGGAUAACCUACCUAUAAGACUGGGAUAACUUCGGGAAACCGGAGCUAAUACCGGAUAAUAUAUUGAACCGCAUGGUUCAAUAGUGAAAGACGGUUUUGCUGUCACUUAUAGAUGGAUCCGCGCCGCAUUAGCUAGUUGGUAAGGUAACGGCUUACCAAGGCAACGAUGCGUAGCCGACCUGAGAGGGUGAUCGGCCACACUGGAACUGAGACACGGUCCAGACUCCUACGGGAGGCAGCAGUAGGGAAUCUUCCGCAAUGGGCGAAAGCCUGACGGAGCAACGCCGCGUGAGUGAUGAAGGUCUUCGGAUCGUAAAACUCUGUUAUUAGGGAAGAUCAAAUGUGUAAGUAACUAUGCACGUCUUGACGGUACCUAAUCAGAAAGCCACGGCUAACUACGUG
rnacentral:rRNA from 1 species